rnacentral:tRNA from 1 species
GAGGAGGUAAUUCAGUGGGCAGAAGGUUUGCCUGACAUCUGAGAAGCCCUGAGUUCAAUCCUCAGCACCCUCA